CUCCAGACUCCUACGGGAGGCAGCAGUGGGGAAUAUUGCACAAUGGGGGAAACCCUGAUGCAGCAACGCCGCGUGAGUGAAGAAGUAUUUCGGUAUGUAAAGCUCUAUCAGCAGGGAAGAAGAUGACGGUACCUGACUAAGAAGCCCCGGCUAACUACGUGCCAGCAGCCGCGGUAAUACGUAGGGGGCAAGCGUUAUCCGGAUUUACUGGGUGUAAAGGGAGCGUAGACGGCGAUGCAAGCCAGAUGUGAAAGCUCGGGGCUCAACCCCGGGACUGCAUUUGGAACUGUGUGGCUGGAGUGCAGGAGGGGCAGGCGGAAUUCCUGGUGUAGCGGUGAAAUGCGUAGAUAUCAGGAGGAACACCGGUGGCGAAGGCGGCCUGCUGGACUGCAACUGACGUUGAGGCCCGAAAGCGUGGGGAGCAAACAGGAUUAGAUACCCGUGUACU
rnacentral:rRNA from 1 species